CCUAUUUUUUCAACAGGAAGUUGCAUUAUCCAGAUCUUCUGAAGGCAGUGGGGAGACCAAAGAGUGCUAAUCCACCACUAAGUGCUGCAGAGAAGCAGCGAAAGAUACAGGAAGGACCUACUGCAGAAGUCUUAUUAGAAAGGGAUCCAGAAGCACCCUCCAUGGCAUGCUGACGGAAAGGACAUAGUUCCACCACAUUCUCAAUCUCUGUUUUCCUUGUUUCUCUCCUCUUUCCAUCUUGAAUGUGAUGAACUACAUGGACAUAACACAUUCCUUCAGACAUCUUUCUCUCACACACAGGCUAUGUACACACAUGCACACACACACAA